GGACUACCGGGGUAUCUAAUCCUGUUCGCUCCCCACGCUUUCGUUCCUCAGCGUCAGAAAAGGCCCAGCAAGCUGCCUUCGCCAUUGGUGUUCCUACGAAUCUCUACGCAUUUUACUGCUACACUCGUAAUUCCACUUGCCUCUGCCUUCCUCCAGUUUGCCAGUAUGAGAUGCAUCGAUAUGGUUGAGCCACACGAUUUAACACCUCACUUAACAAACCGCCUACGAACGCUUUACGCCCAGUGAUUCCGGAUAACGCUUGGACCCUACGUAUUACCGCGGCUGCUGGCAC
rnacentral:rRNA from 1 species